CAAUAAAGAAACAGAAGAUACAAUCAAUAUUUUUAAAAAAAAGUACUUUAAAUUGCUUGUCCUGCAUAUUUACUCAACCAUAACCUCUACAAUUCUAAGCAUUUCAUACUCUGAUUUCUAUCGUCUCUAAAUACAGCUCAAAAUUGUUCCAACUUCCUUACAACUUGUCACACACAAAUUUUAAUAAAAUAUUAUAUGAUUUUAACGAAAGAACCAAAAGUCUAAUAAAGAUACUUUUAUUACUCUGUUAUCUAUGGUUACACAGUGCCUAGUACUGAAUGCUGCAGUUCAACAGUUGGCCCUCCUGCUUCAUAUUUAGAAGAUUCCAGGUACGAAUCAUGACAGGUGUCAUGAAAUUCCUAUGUUGUUCCAGGUCAUGAACGUACUCACCGUUUAACAUAAUUGGGGGUGAUGUAGGUCUCAUCACAAGGCGACUCCUCCUUUUUGAUCUGCUUAGUACGUUGAACUCCGCCACUACUAUGCCAGCUUCCAAAUCUUUCACAUACAACGUGGGAUACACCGCACAAAAC